GGCCUUCGGGUUGUAAAGCUCAGUCACUCGGGAAGAGCGGACGAAGGAGUGGAAAGCCUUCGUCGAGACGGUACCGAGAGAGGAAGCCCCGGCUAACUACGUGCCAGCAGCCGCGGUAAUACGUAGGGGGCAAGCGUUGUCCGGAAUCACUGGGCGUAAAGCGUGCGUAGGCGGUCGCGUGUGUCUGGGGUGAAAGUCCAGGGCUCAACUCUGGGAUUGCCUUGGAAACUGCGUGACUUGAGUACUGGAGAGGCAAGGGGAAUUCCGCGUGUAGCGGUGGAAUGCGUAGAUAUGCGGAGGAAUACCAGUGGCGAAGGCGCCUUGCUGGACAGUGACUGACGCUGAGGCACGAAAGCGUGGGGAGCAAACAGGAUUAGAUACCCUGGUAGUCCACGCCGUAAACGAUGAGUGCUAGGUG
rnacentral:rRNA from 1 species